rnacentral:lncRNA from 1 species
GGGAAAUGAGCCUUUUAAGUGCCUGACUUGCAGGAGGUCAUCAUUAGUCUGUCAAGGUAUUCCUUUGCUGCCAUCUUCUAUAAAUGUAUUUGAUAUGGCAACUCCCAGUUAUGCUGUUUUUGAGCAGACAAGACGUACUGUUUAUGAAAACAGACUUCUUAAAAGCAAGCCGUGGUGGCGGGUAAAGGAGGAGAGGUUGUUUACAAUAUUUUAAGCCAAACGGUUCCUUUGGCAGGAGGUUUUCUGUAACGAGUGAGAACAACAAGAAUUAGCUCUCUCAGCACUUCAACAAGCAGAGAUUUUUGUCUGUAAUGAGAAGAAUGAGACUUGUUUGACAUAAACUACAAAACAACACAGCAAAGAUGAAGAAGGAGGGCAGAAAUACAUUACUGAAGGGUUGCUGGAAAUGGUUAAUUCCAAACAUGGCUUUCCUUCUAUGCUACUGUCUCCAGAGUGAGAACAGCAUCUACAGAAGCAAAGACUUCAAGAAUAAACUGGAGUUAAAUGUGAACUACGAACACCACACUGGACAGCCCCUGAAGUAACAGGGUGGAGAGGUAAAGUCAGGGUGAUGUGCCUUGCUGCAGGUCCUGUGAUUGCCUCCUUCCACAGACAGGUACAACUUCAAAUGCAGGAGUGUUGUAAGUUGAUCUAGAAGGAAGAAACUCAAAAUCCCUCCAGCUCCUGAAAAAAUGUAUGCCAAUUAAUUCUGAAUUGGGAUUUUCCUUUACAUUUGAUCUACUUAAAAAUGCACCACAAGGAAAGCUUCCUAUGAGGAAAGCUUAUAAAUGCUCUCAGGGAAAAGGCACCAUCACAACUCUCCCACUUCCUAAAGGGAUCAGGGUAGAACCCUGCUUAAUGCACAUCCUCUAAAGAAAAUAUAAGGCCCUACCUAAUACAGCCUCUGCUAAAAAAAAACAAACCCAACCAGAUGAUCCCUCCCCGUCUCUGCUCUAACUUCCCUACUGCUCUUGCUGACUGACUUGUACCUACUUAAAAAAAAAUAGUUCCUUCCCUUGCCUGCUGCAGCUCAAGGCUGGGGCAUUAGAGCCGCUUACAUGGAAGGGAAUGGGGGGAGAUAGGAUGAGACCUGUGAAAUAAACAAUACAAAAUUGCCA